AGCUUUGUGCUGUGGAAGUAUUAUAGCCAAUGAGGUUUAUCCAAGGCGUGAUUAUUGCUAAUUAAGAAUUAAGUUACAAUAAAUGACACUAAAAACGAAAUAAAUACCCACAAUGAUCCUAAUUAUUUUGCUACAUCUUAUUGU